rnacentral:rRNA from 1 species
AUGGCGGAACCGGAAACCCAGGUGCUCGGGGGCGGAAAGAAGGCAGUUCAUGGCGUGCUAGGGUUUAGUGCGGAGGCGGGAGCUGCAGGAGGUCAGAGGACGGAGUCUAGGACGCCUCUGGGUGCUGAUGGGGUUGAAUCCAUGGGGGCGAAGGGGGCUGAGGUCGAAGACGAAGAUCGGGUAGAAGAUUCAGAUCGGGAUGAGGAGACUAUUGGAUGGGAUCAAUUCGGCCCAAACCCAGAGUUGGAGGACAUGUUUGAAGGCCUGAAGCUUCAUGGUGAGGAAGAGGAGGACCUCGAUCUCUCAGGGGAGGUAGAUGAGUUGAUUAAGGAUGUUCGUUGGCUGUGUUUGUUUCGGGUGCAUACCAUGAGGCCGUUUAGCCAUGCGGCGGUGCUGAAUUCAAUGCGUAAUGCAUGGGCGUGUGCCCAAGGUGUUACCUUCAACAUCAAAGGGUCGAACCUGUUCUUGGCUCAGUGUCAUUGCUUGGGCGAUUGGAAACGUGUAAUGGAUGGAGGACCGUGGCAAUUUCGAAAGGAUCCGGUGGUCAUUGUGGAGUAUGAUGGGUUCACCAACGUCUCUGAAUAUGCGUUGGAUAUGUAUCCGUUGUGGGCAAGGAUCAAAGGCUUGACGGAUGGACUCACAAGGAAGAAGGAAUUGGCAGAGAAGGUAGCAAAGAAGGUCGGUGAGCCGCCGUUUACGGUGGUAGUUAAUGAGGGGAGGAUUAACCCUGCUAGCCAUUUAAGGGUUAGGGUCUUUGUGAAUGUUCAGAAGCCAUUGGUGAGAUUUGUGAGUAUCACACUGAAGGAGAUGAAACGGUACCCUGUUACGUACGAGAAGCUGCCGGACUUCUGUUUUUUCUGCGGUUGCAUGGGACAUGUGGUUGAGGAGUGUGGGGACGGCGUUCAUGAUCCCGGCGAAUGUGGAUGGGGGGAUUGGUUGCAUUGGAGUAGUGAGCCGGGCAUGUCGGGAGGUGGAGUAGGAAGAGGUAGAGGAGGGAGGGCUGCAGGCCAAGGAGGAUGGGAGGGUGGAGCAUGGAGGGCUGGUAGAGGUGGAGGUAGAGGAGCAGGAGGUUUAGGUGGAAGAGGUGGAUCAGAGGGAGCUCAUGCAAGUAAUGUUGUUGUUGAUACUCGGCCGGUGGAGGGUGGUGCACACAAUAUGUAA